rnacentral:lncRNA from 1 species
UAAGGAUCUGCAGUUGGGCUUAAUAAAUAGGAAGUUAUUUUCUUCCUAUUUCUGUUCUUUAAAAAAGUACAAUCUUAAUUCAAUCAAAACUCCAUCCUGUCCAAUCAUAAAGUGCUCUAUAAGAUUCUCGACAUGCAUGUUAAAUAUGAGAAUUAUCACUAUGAAGCUUCUGUAUUUAAUAAGCCUGAGGGAGCUGGCAUUUUGCCAACACUUAGCUGACUGGUUGUGAUAAACUUUCACGUAACAUUAGUUUAUCAGCAAAAGACCAUGUUAUAUAAAAUAGUCCAUAAAUGACAGUUGCUAAAACAUGCCUGAGAUGGGUAUUCAAUGGUCCAUGGAAUGCACAAUGCUCUGCAGAGAACUCAUUCACACUUCUUUCAGUUGGGCCUCAUGGUAACUCACUGUCUGCUCUGAAAAGGUCACCUGGCUAACUAAGGGAGAACACUAGAUUCAAAUGCGGUUGGCCCGGCCCUGGCUUAGGGCUUUCACUUUUGCCCCACACAGCUCCCAGGCAAUGACUCUGAAGCUGAGAGGCAGAGUUCUAGUAGGAAGAGCUCUCUGCUCUCCAGGGAAUGGUCAUUAGUGUAACUGACAAGAA